CUGUCUACAGAGACCGUUUUUUUUUUUUACAGUGUGUUCAGGGGACAGGCAGCUAGCGGAUAGUGAGGAGCACCUUUAACUGAACAAGUAGCAGAGCAUGUUACAGAGGUGACGUCUCUCUGCCGUCCCCUGUACAGGUAAAGCCGGCCACACGUGAUCUGUGGUGAACCACUCUGUGCUGGCUGCGCCGUUGCUUUUUCUACGGGGGGAAGCGGUGGAGACGGAGGAAGCGCCUCCCUUGGCUUUGCACAAAAUCGAAUAGAAAACAUUACACUUCAUAACGUUUUGUAUUUAUAACCUAUGUUGUAAAAUGUAUCACUGUGCACCAACAGUAAUAGCAAUUACCUUAAGUAAGCCACCCUAUUAGCUGACUGGAGUGAAUUCUCCAAAGGUCUGUCUGGAUUUAGUAGGACGUUUGUUGUACAAUGACAAUAAAUGAACCUUGAACCAUGUGCAGUUUAAAGUAUUAACUAUUACAUAAAUAUUAAACAAAUGCAGUUUGAAGCAGAAAUAAUCAAAAACCUAGUUUAGGCUACUUGUUCUAUUCAAAUAAAUGAAAUCCCUUUGCUUGUAAAUGUUUCCUCAUAUUCAUUUUAUGAAAGAAGCACAUUAUUUGAUACAUUUUCAUUGCGCCCCUAAAAUUCUUUAUGCGCUCCUAAA